UUAAAUGUGCAUGCUGUAUUUAUAGGUCAAUGUCAGGCAGGUGUCCCACAACUUUCCGCUUACAUCCAUUUUGGAGUAUAUCAAACUGGAAGGAGAUAUUACUUUUACAGCACUUAUGAAAAUGACUGUGCUGAUGGAGUCAAAUUAUUUAUUAAUGUACUUGAAGCACGCUCUACAAGCUCAACAGUAUAUCCUACCAUUGCAGCUAGUAAUACUAUGAAUCCAACUGUUACUGGAUCAACAAUUGGAUCAACCGGAACAACAACUGGAUCAACCAGAACAGUAACUGGAUCAACCGGAACAGUAACUGGAUUAACUACUUCCAGUACUUCUGCUACAAGCGCUUCGUCAACUGUUGGUAGCUCUUAUGAAAGUGGCAGUUCACAUUUGGAUAAACAAUAUUUUCUCAUCAUUGUUGCUGUUCUUGCUCCUUAUUGUUUUGCCCAUGUCAAUAAUGUGCUGUAGAAAAUGAAGAGGGAGCAGCUAGUGCACUAGCACGGUAAAACCACAUGACACAUAAUACUUGAUGCAUACAGGUACAAUCAAAAUAUAUUUAUUGUCUAUACAUGUGUAAUGACUUAUAUAAACACAACUCUCAGAGAUUAUUACAUUUGUGUAUUACUUUAUUAUUGUGUGUAUGUGUGCGUGGGUGAGUGUGCAUGCUCAGUGUGAAAGAUUUGGAACACAUGUUUUGUUUGUGUGAUUUGAGCCCUCUUCUUUGUUACUAUUUUGAUUCUUCGUAAUAAUUUUGUCAACCAUCUUACACAUGCAUGAGUCACUUGAUUUAUUAUUGUUGUAAAAUUUGAAUUCACUAACAACAAA